rnacentral:rRNA from 1 species
UACAGAGGCGGCAAGCGUUGUUCGGAAUUACUGGGCGUAAAGCGCGUGUAGGCGGCUGCGCAAGUCGGAUGUGAAAUCCCGUGGCUCAACCACGGAAGUGCACCCGAAACUGCGUAGCUGGAGUCUCGGAGAGGAAGGUGGAAUGCUUGGUGUAGAGGUGAAAUUCGUAGAUAUCAAGCGGAACACCGGUGGCGAAGGCGGCCUUCUGGACGAUGACUGACGCUGAGACGCGAAAGCGUGGGGAGCAAACAGG